rnacentral:rRNA from 1 species
GACGAACGCUGGCGGCGUGCCUAAUACAUGCAAGUAGAACGCUGAAGAGAGGAGCUUGCUCUUCUUGGAUGAGUUGCGAACGGGUGAGUAACGCGUAGGUAACCUGCCUGGUAGCGGGGGAUAACUAUUGGAAACGAUAGCUAAUACCGCAUAAAAUUGAUUAUUGCAUGAUAAUUAAUUGAAAGAUGCAAUUGCAUCACUACCAGAUGGACCUGCGUUGUAUUAGCUAGUUGGUGAGGUAACGGCUCACCAAGGCGACGAUACAUAGCCGACCUGAGAGGGUGAUCGGCCACACUGGGACUGAGACGCGGCCCAGACUCCUACGGGAGGCAGCAGUAGGGAAUCUUCGGCAAUGGGGGGAACCCUGACCGAGCAACGCCGCGUGAGUGAAGAAGGUUUUCGGAUCGUAAAGCUCUGUUGUAAGAGAAGAACGGGUGUGAGAGUGGAAAGUUCACACUGUGACGGUAUCUUACCAGAAAGGGACGGCUAACUACGUGCCAGCAGCCGCGGUAAUACGUAGGUCCCGAGCGUUGUCCGGAUUUAUUGGGCGUAAAGCGAGCGCAGGCGGUUAGAUAAGUCUGAAGUUAAAGGCUGUGGCUUAACCAUAGUAUGCUUUGGAAACUGUUUAACUUGAGUGCAGAAGGGGAGAGUGGAGUUCCAUGUGUAGCGGUGAAAUGCGUAGAUAUAUGGAGGAACACCGGUGGCGAAAGCGGCUCUCUGGUCUGUAACUGACGCUGAGGCUCGAAAGCGUGGGGAGCAAACAGGAUUAGAUACCCUGGUAGUCCACGCCGUAAACGAUGAGUGCUAGGUGUUAGGCCCUUUCCGGGGCUUAGUGCCGCAGCUAACGCAUUAAGCACUCCGCCUGGGGAGUACGACCGCAAGGUUGAAACUCAAAGGAAUUGACGGGGGCCCGCACAAGCGGUGGAGCAUGUGGUUUAAUUCGAAGCAACGCGAAGAACCUUACCAGGUCUUGACAUCCCUCUGACCGCUCUAGAGAUAGAGUUUUCCUUCGGGACAGAGGUGACAGGUGGUGCAUGGUUGUCGUCAGCUCGUGUCGUGAGAUGUUGGGUUAAGUCCCGCAACGAGCGCAACCCCUAUUGUUAGUUGCCAUCAUUCAGUUGGGCACUCUAGCGAGACUGCCGGUAAUAAACCGGAGGAAGGUGGGGAUGACGUCAAAUCAUCAUGCCCCUUAUGACCUGGGCUACACACGUGCUACAAUGGCUGGUACAACGAGUCGCAAGCCGGUGACGGCAAGCUAAUCUCUGAAAGCCAGUCUCAGUUCGGAUUGUAGGCUGCAACUCGCCUACAUGAAGUCGGAAUCGCUAGUAAUCGCGGAUCAGCACGCCGCGGUGAAUACGUUCCCGGGCCU